rnacentral:other from 1 species
CUGUCCCUGCUGUGUUGGUGAUGCGACAUUACGUUCUGAGCCAACACCAAAUAUAGGGGAUUUGAGAUUUGGUGAGAGACGCGAUAGGCUUUAGCCAAGGCGAAACUCAUCUGCCAGAUCCCACCUGCGAAAGCAGGUUCAGAACCAGUAGCACACGGCAUAGCGGGGUCUUG